rnacentral:rRNA from 1 species
GCAGGCGGAAGAUCAAGUCAGCGGUAAAAUUGAGAGGCUCAACCUCUUCGAGCCGUUGAAACUGGUUUUCUUGAGUGAGCGAGAAGUAUGCGGAAUGCGUGGUGUAGCGGUGAAAUGCAUAGAUAUCACGCAGAACUCCGAUUGCGAAGGCAGCAUACCGGCGCUCAACUGACGCUCAUGCACGAAAGUGUGGGUAUCGAACAGGAUUAGAUACCCUGGUAGUCCACACAGUAAACGAUGAAUACUAAUUGUUCGGGGAGAAUGAUCCCUGAGUGAUACAGCGAAAGCGUUAAGUAUUCCACCUGGGGAGUACGCCGGCAACGGUGAAACUCAAAGGAAUUGACGGGGGCCCGCACAAGCGGAGGAACAUGUGGUUUAAUUCGAUGAUACGCGAGGAACCUUACCCGGGCUCAAACGACACAGGAAUACUUUUGAAAGGAAGUAGCUCUACGGAGCCUGUGUCGAGGUGCUGCAUGGUUGUCGUCAGCUCGUGCCGUGAGGUGUCGGCUUAAGUGCCAUAACGAGCGCAACCCCCAUCGCCAGUUACCAGCAAGUCAAGUUGGGGACUCUGGCGAGACUGCCGGCGCAAGCUGUGAGGAAGGCGGGGAUGACGUCAAAUCAGCACGGCCCUUACGUCCGGGGCGACACACGUGUUACAAUGGCAGGUACAGAGAGAAGCAAUGCGGCGACGCAAAGCGGAACUUGAAAGCCUGUCUCAGUUCGGAUUGGAGUCUGCAACUCGACUCCAUGAAGCUGGAUUCGCUAGUAAUCGCGCAUCAGCCAUGGCGCGGUGAAUACGUUCCCGGGCCUUGUACACACCGCCCGUCAAGCCAUGGAAGCCGGGAGUGCCUGAAGUGUGCAACCGCAAGGAGCGCCCUAAGGUAAAACUGGUGACUGGGGCUAAGUCGUAACAAGGUAACCGUAA